rnacentral:tRNA from 1 species
CCGACAAUAGCUCAGUUAGUAGAGCGUAGGACUGUAGUUUGAUUAAUCUAAAUUGGAAAUCCUUAGGUCGCUGGUUCGAAUCCGGCAGGUCGGA